GACCCAGAUGAAUUCUUUUCUGCUGUCCACUGCCAGCCAACAGGAGAUUGCUACUCUAGACAACAAGAUGGAGUCUUGCUCUGCCGCUCAGGCUGGAGUGCAAUGGCAUGAUCUUGGCUCACUACGACCUCCGCCUCCUGGGUUCAAGCAAUUCUCCUGUCUCAGCCUCCUGAGUAGCUGGGACUACAGGCACCUGCCACUACGCCCGGCUAAUUUUUGUAUUUUUAGUAGAGACGGAGUUUCACCAUAUUGGUCAGGCUGGUCUUGAACUCCUGACCUCAGGUGAUCCACCCGCUUCGGCCUCCCAAAGUGCUGGGAUCACAGGCGUGAGCCACCGCGCCCGGCCCCAACUAAAUCUUGAAGGACAAAGUGGGUGUUAAUGAAAGGGCAAAAAGGAUAGUAGUGCUGGGGGCAUAGGAGGCAGAAGACGUUCCAGAAAGAGGGAAUAGGGCAUGUAAAGGUCCAGAGAAGAGAGAGAGAGCCUGGUGUCUUAAAGAAGUACGAGCCAUUUAGUAUGCUAGAUGCAGCAUAGAGUGCCGAGGACGGGAUGUUUUGGGAAGGAAAGCUAGAUAGGGAGCCAGAUGCCUAAUUAUGAAGAACCUUUGAUUCAGGGAAAACUGGUUUAUGUUUCAUCCCGAAGACUGUGUAAGACAGCUGGUUGAGAGAUCAUUACCAGUGGAGGGACUGAUGCUAUUUGUAUAUAGAAUGAUCACUUGCAGGAAGGUGGAUGGAGAAUAAUUUGUCAAGAGGGCAGGGCUGGAGGCAGGAAGCCCAGUUAGGAGGCUGGUGCAGUAAUCCAUGUGAGACGUGUUGAGGCCCUAAAUUUACAGUCCCGACAGUGAGGGUGGAGAUAAGUAGAUAGAUUUGAGAGGUGUCAAGGUGGAAUUGAAGGAAUUUGGCCACUGUUUGGAUUAUUAGAGUGAGGGAUGAAUGAGAAGGAAAUGUUAUGAUGCCUCCCAGGUCUCUAGCUUGGGUGGACAGUAGUAUUUACUAUGACUGGGAAGAGGGGAGGAGGAGGAGCAGGUAUUGGAGAAACGGUAGUGAGUUUAAUGUCAAGUUUAAGCAGUUGGAUUGGUUGGAGUAUAGAAGAUAGACUCUGGGCUGCAGACUGGGGACUCAUUACCCUGUCACUGGUAAUGGAAGAUAUACAAGUCAAAGAAAUUGCCGGGAGGAGUAUGCAGAAUGAGAAGAGAGUUGAGAACAAAACCCAGAGAUGAGAGCUUAUGAGACAGCCCCAUAUGCCAGUCCUUUUCUUCCUGAGAACACUUUUGGACCCAUUUGUGCUGUGGAGUAAGUAUUCAUCAUGUAGCUUUGCCCAUAGUGGGCAAUGUGGAGACCAAAAGGAAAGCUUUCCUCACAUGGGGUAUACAGAGAGACAGAAACAAGGGCAAAUUACUUGCUGAAAGAAUGCCAAGGGUCGGAGCAGUUGGAGCUCUAUAUGAUGGUGCCAGCUGUGGGCAGCAUGGUGACUAGGUUGGAAGUGGCAUGUGGAGUUGUCAGGCACCACCUGCCAUUUAACUUCUCAUUUUUCUAGUUUGAAAAUGGUAUGAGCUUCGUUCUUCCUUUCAGAUCCAUGAGACAAUAGAAACCAUCAACCAGCUGAAGACUCAGCGGGAGUUCAUGCUGAGCUUUGCCAGAGACCCUCAGGGUUUCAUCAAUGACUGGCUUCAGUCCCAGUGCAGGGACCUCAAGACAAUGACUGAUGUGGUGGGUAACCCAGAGGAGGAGCGCCGAGCUGAGUUCUACUUCCAGCCCUGGGCUCAGGAGGCUGUGUGCCGAUACUUCUACUCCAAGGUGCAGCAGAGACGACAAGAAUUAGAGCAAGCCCUGGGAAUCCGGAAUACAUAGGGCCUCUCCCACAGCCCUGAUUCGACUGCACCAAUUCUUGAUUUGGGCCCUGUGCUGCCUGCCUCAUAGUAUCUGCCUUGGUCUUGCUUGGGGCGUUCCAGGGGAUGCUGUUGGUUCAAGGACAACACCAGAAUGAAGAGGGUCUCACAAGACACCUGUUAUCCUCUUCUUUCACCCUAUCUCUUCCCACCCCCAGCUUCCCUUUGCCCCACAAAGUUCCCAUGUGCCUGUACCCUCCCCUGGUCUACAUAGGACCUCUAGAUAGUGUUAGAGAGAGAACAUGUAGUGGUAAUGAGUGCUUGGAAUGGAUUGGGCCUCAGGCCAGGUGGUCUUCAAGGGGACCAGCUAACUGAUCCUGCCCUUCAGAGACCCAGGAGUUGGGAGCUUUCGCUCCUUCUCCAAGACUCAGGCCUGUGGGCACUCUAUAAGCUAGUUGAUCUUGGCUCUCCUGAUAACAGAAUCCAAUUUCCUUCCUUCCCUCCACAGGUUUGGAACAAACUCUCCCUUCACUUGUUGCCCUGUAGCACUACAGAAACCCUGGUUCUUGGGCUCCACUGAGCCCCAGGUCAGUCCCCAGCCCUCUGGGUUGGCCUGCUGUCAGUGCUUCUCUCACUCCUUAGUUGGGGUCCACAUCAGUAUUGGAGUUUUGUUCUUUAUUGCUCCCUCCCAGACACUCCCUGUGGCUGCCCUUUGUGAUUCCCUCAGAUCUGCCCUAAUCCCGGGCAUUUGGGUGGGGGAAUCUUGCCUUUCCCUUUCAGAGCCCCAGGGAUCUCAUCUGGGGAACUGUCAUUGCCAGCAGAGGCUGUUCCUUCCUGCUGUUUGGAGAUGUGACUCAUUCAUUCACUCACUCCACCCUGCCUCUGCAUCCCUUAAUGGAGAAACGGGCCUAAAACCAAACGGGUAAAAAGCCCUGGGCCAUCCCUGUCUUCCUGUCCCUUGUCUGCCCAGUUGACACCUACUGGUGACUUCUAGGGCACUGAGGAGUGAAAGCGCCUAGGGCUGGAGAAUAGCGCUGAGUUGGGUUUGUGACUCUUCCCUCUCCCUGCCUCACAGGAUUGUGACUCCCCAGCCCCUGCCCUCAAAGCUUCAGACCCCUCAGGUAGCAGCAGGACCUUGUGAUCUUGGCCCCUUGGAUCUGAGAUGGUUUUUGCAUCUUUCCAGGAGAGCCUCACAUUCUUCUUCCAGGUUGUAUCACCCCCGAGUUAGCAUAUCCCAGGCUCGCAGACUCAACACAGCAAGGGUGGGAGACAGCUGGGCACAAAGGGGGAAUUCCGUUCAGCAUGGGCUCUAAACCCACAGAACUGACAAAGCCCCUGCU
rnacentral:lncRNA from 1 species